CUGAGCCGAAGCAGGAUGCUCAACCGACUGAGCCACCCAGGUGACUCUGUAUUUACUUAGUUUUUAAAUAUGCAACAACGUGAAUCCCCGGCUGACUUGUAGGGUGGGUGAUUGGUGUUUUCCUCGUGUAUGCUUCUCAAUUCUUUACAUGAGCAUAUUUAAUAUCCUGGAAGAAAAUAUUUUUUGAAAAAGCUUUGGAUUGCACUGGUUAAAAUGUGAUAACUUGAUUGAAAUACAAGUCUGUUAAAUCCAUAAAUACAGAUGCAAGAAAGACAUUUGUAAUUUUCCAGUGACGAGUGGAGAUAUUUGAAACCCCUUGGUGUUUUUUAAGACAGAAUUCUGUUCUACAGAAUUAAGUUCUCUUUGUUUAAAUGUGUUCUUGGUUUUCAAAUUGAAUAGAGUCCCUGGCACAUACCUGUGGUUCUCAUGAUGUAUGUGCAUGUGCUAACCUCAUUUACAGACAGCAGGGAGAGACGGGGCCUCUAAUGCAUCUUUCCCAAUAAAAGGGCGUAGUCAGAAAAAUACUUAGUCUGAUAGUUUCGUAUAUGAAACCCGGUCACUUACGAUAGGUCCGCACGAAGGACAAGACUAAAGCUGUGGUAAAAUAAUUUAUAAGAUACACGCAGUCAUGUGCUUAUGAAGGAAGUAAUAAAACAGUGAAGACCAUUUAGUUCAGAUUUCCAAACCAGGAAACUGUGAUCUACAUUAGGCAGAGAGCACGUUAAUUCAAUGGAAAGGGUUUUCUUUAACGGAACUAUUUGUAGUGUGGACAGUCGAAAUGAUCUAUCUCUUUGAGCUUGAAACACAAGUUGUGCGUUUUAAGAAGUAAAAGGCAACACAGUGGAAGGUACAGAUAUCGUCAAAUACGGCAAGCGUCGCAGUGAACGUAGGGGGACAUCACACACCUGCCCCCGUGUGCCUCCCUGUGUUUGCUCAUUGAGCCUGGGAAACUGAGACAGAGGUCAUAGUGGACCUCAGCACACCCUGAGCCAUGGGACCACAAGCGGUUUUUCCUCGGGACACAAGCAGCUCCUCGCUACAUGCAGGGGUCCCGGGUGAACGCUGCCCUUGCUUGGUAAGGUGCACAGCGACAGGCAGUCACUACCCUACCGAUGCCUUUGUGUUUGCAAAUUACUUGGGCAACUCAGAACACAAGAGAGAUGGGAUUAGGAAAUGAAGAAAUGCCCACGUGAGGUGGGGGCCCCACGGUUUUGCCUGGCUUCUCCGUGGUCUUUGUUAUUCAAAUAUCCUGUUGUGUAAGUGCAAAGACAGGAAGUGAGUUCUACAAACCCUUACAACAACAGCAGUCUUGGGUUUCAGAUAAGUAGGUGUGCCUAGUGCUUCGGGAUUUGAUACAUAUUUAGGGGUUUUUUUUGUUUGUUUUUUGAAAAUGCUGAAAAGUACUACAUUUUCUCUGGGCAAAACAUCUUUGGUGUUUCAAAAAAGCCCUGACAUUACUGUGUAAAUAGUCUCGUUAAUAACUGCCUCUUGGGCCUGUCCCAGACUUUAAUUGUUUAGCUUUGCGCUUUAUUUGUGUCUCUCUCAAAACACUGCCGUGUGUCUUCAGAGGUGAGAGGUGGAGCCAGUGAGCAGCACAGAGUAGGCUGUGCAUUGUUUUUGGCCCCGGGGCUGCUGGUUUUCCUGGGGAUCAGACCCCCUGGGCGUGUGUGCGGGGAGAGGGACCCCCUUGCUCUGUCACCCGCGGGGCUGGCUUUCUGCAGAAAGGGGGCUGCGGUGGGAGGGUUUCCUCUGCUGCUCAGUGCCCUCUCCUUCCUCUUUCAGGCCCAGAAGCCCAAGAACCCCCAUGUGAGCCUUAUUCACUACUCUGUUCCCAUUUCCCUGCACUGGUUGUAUUUUGGAUUUCAGAGUUUGGAAGUCUAAACAUUUUCCCGCACUGAGGAAUACGCAAGGAUUUUGGUUCAGACUCCAAGUUAGGAAACACCUACAGAGUUUGUGUGUUCCUAAGAAAAACUGGAUGAAAUGAAAUAAAAUGGCAUGUUUUGGGGCGGGGGGUAUGGCUGUUAUUCAUUUUAUCGACACACCGUAUUUUAAGUGAGCCUCCCAGGUCGUAGGAUUGGGAAGAGGCCCUCCUGAUUGUCCCGAAUGAAACCUUGAACUGAGAAUAGGGAGUGUGGGAGUUUGGGCUUUUCCAGUAGUUUCUGAGCUCUGGACUCCGGGAUGGGGAAUGAGUUCCUGGCUCGCCUCCGCCCCCUGCCUCCAGUGGGCCCAGAAGACCGCUUCCCCUUUCUGCUCCUCAAAUAAGCCUCGGCCUGGCCUCCCUGCUCAGCUUUACCCCCGAGGCCAGCGGCCGGUGAGCGAGUGCCAGUCUCCUGCUUGGACACAGUGAAUGUCCUUAAGCCUCAACAAAAUGACUAACGCGUCUUUAAAGUUUCUCUUAGAAGGGUCACCACAUUCUGAGGAAGUUCAAAGAAUAUAAAAUCGAACGUUCGGGGAGGAAAUCGGCUACAUUUUGCUCUGGUGUUUUCAGGCUGGUGAUGGGCAUUAAUUACGCAAGACCCGCUACAUUUUAAAAGUCAUUUGAAGAUUUGGGGAAGAGAUCCAAAGUGUUGCGAGACCGACGGCCUUUCGUGUUGAAUCAAGACGCCUUCCGCUCACAGAAGUGCUUCUGACCUAAGUGGAAAUUGAAUUCAGGCCCAGCAGCAGGUAAGAGUGCCUGGUCCGGGGCAUGGGGAGUCUUAGGGGGUUCUUUCUCCAUGGGUUUUGAAAGCAAAGGUGCCCUUCGGAGAGCACGACGCGGUGAACGCUGAUGUGACAGACCGAGCCCGGGAGGCCACAUCACAAACACACGCCGGCCAGAAAUCCUGAUUAAUGUCACUGAGAUCACUUCAAAUUUAUGGUAUCGACAGCGAUGCGAAUAAUGAUCGCACAAGGGCCGUAAUGGCAGGACCCGGCAAAGAGGGUCUGUUUUCUUCAUCUGGAUUUUUAUUUUCUGUAAUGCGUGAGAAAACCAAAUCGAGGGAUGCCAGGAAACAGGUGUUUACGUUGUGAAGAUAAGUGUUUGUCAAAUAUCAGUCAUUUCAACCACCCUUUGGGCAUCUUCCGCUCCGCAGAGGUGCCCGCUGAUAAUGGCCCGCUGAUCUGCCAGCAGCAUCACGCAGAGAAGUUUCUGGCGAGGGUUCCUUUCUGUCGCAUAUAGAUGUCCAGGCCUCUGUCAACUCUGCACCAGCCAAAGCCCUGAAACGAUUCGGGGGAAGUCAAUAUUCCAAGAAAGGCUUUUCCUCAGAAGAAAACCCGGUUUCACACCUGGGUUGAGGAUCUCUGUCAGGACGAGCCCUCUCGGUCUUUCCACCGAGAGGGAGCCGCUUGCCAGAAAAAGUGAAUUAACUGCGUUAAGCUUCGAAAAGGAAAAUUAAGUGGGCUUUAGCAUUUUUUCAACCUGUUUUCUGUUACCUGGUAACACCUUUUAAGGGAACUUAAAAACACUGUAGUUCUUCAAAACCUAAGUGGAAAAUUGGGGUAGAAACUAUCUUCAGCCAUGGAACAGCAGCUGUCUCAGAAAGUCUCUAACGUCCAUAAUUCUAUUGAGUAAAUGCCAAGAAACACCCAGCAAUUGUCAAGAUUAACUGGCAAAUCAAUCCUGUUUUGAAAAAAUCACUGAAACGCCUAUUGCCAGGCAUCUGACCCUCUCCUACCCAAUGUGUUGCCGAUGUGGGGUUGUCCACACGGCCUUGGGGUCCCCAAACCUUAAGUCAACUAGGACUACAAGCUGAUUAGCGCCCAGCAGGAUGCACACCAGUGACAGGAAAGUGACAAUCUGCACAGAAUUCACUUACGCUUCGCGAGAACAGAGACUGAGAGGCGUGCCCUGACCACUGGGCAGGAAAGACAGGGAUCAUGUCCCCACUAGCCUCAGAUGUCAACUACGAUCAGCUUCUAGUUUCCAAAGUAACAAAAUAAAUGAUUAAUUAACACUUAGAUGUCACCACGUAGUUUUCGCAUUUAGAAAUCUGCGUAGCUUGCCGAUCCGAAAAAACGUUACGGACAUCUUUAAAUGGAAAUGUCCAGGUACCGCCUUCUCAAAUAUUUAUAGUCUUCCAAGCUUUUCAUGUCCCUUAGAGACUGAUCAGCGGUCCUUUAACCAGCAUCAAAUACAUCAUGAGAAAAGAAAUAAAAACAAAAGACGCAAAUGAGACCGAGAAAAGCAAAACUUAGAAGCUGUCUGUCUGAUUCUCCGACGGUUGCCUAGGCAGUUUUAUUAUUUUAGAAACCAUACGAAAGAACUGUGUAUUAGUUAACUUAUUCAUUCUGGAGAGAAAUGGCCCCAGCCAGUGGCUGUCUCACGGCGUCAGGGAGAGCCAGGUCCUCAUUCCCCCCGCACAGGACGGCGAGGAGCAGGCUGUCCGCGCAGAGCCGGGGGAUUUCUCCUGGGGUCCUCACCGGUGGGCUCUCGGUGCCUCUCUCGGCUACUUUAUUCACCAAGAAGAGCGCGAUGUGGGGUCGAGGCAGUGACGUAGUCCCAGUAGGAGCACGAAACCUUCCACAUUUCCACCGCCCAGAGCUCCGCGUGGGCUGGCUCGGAGCCGAAAGCCGAGGGGCCCCGCAGGGUGACGUGUCUGCGGAGGGACAGCGCGCCUGCCCCCGGGGCGCGUGCGUGCACCUGCAGCCUCACUGCGGGCGGCGACGGGGAGCCCUGCCCCGCCCGGCACCCUGGCACCAGGAUCGUGUGUUCGGCUGGAGUCCUAGCCUCACCUAGCCGGACUUUCCCCGGGGCCCGGCUGCCCGCUGCAUCACCGUAGCAAUGGACAAACACGGUGAGAGUCGGCAGGGCCCCGCAGCUGCGGAAACCCUGCCCUCCUGGCCGCCCCGCGGGAGGGGCCGGGCUAAUUUCCAUGCGGCGUUUGGGGAUGUUGGGAUUCGAAGAUCAAAGAAGGUCAAAGGGGGCCGUUGGAAUGGCAGAUAUUUAUUGUGUUUAAUAUAAAUACAAACGUGUCCAAGAAGAGAAACUGAAACCUUAACAGGCCUGUGGAUGGCGUUUGGUAAACAGAAAAGAACACAUCUUGAAAGCAGGCGGCUGGCUGGCGAAAUUGACUGGCACUGCAGAAGCUGUCGCGAUUUAAAGUGGGACAAAUUAAGACAGCAACAAUCUUCACCGACAUCGAACAUCCACAUUCGUUGAAAACCCUGAGGAAGACGUCUAGCUGCACUUUAGAAAUUUCUGGUCGCCCUCCUUAGCUGCGCCCCUUGUAUUAUUAAGAGUGUUUGUUUCAUACCAUUAACUGUGCAGUCAAGUUGGAGCCCGUUAAACAGCAUUAAUUUGACAAAUUGUGGGAUGGGGGUGUGAGUGCCGGCUGGAGAAAGGGGCUUUGUGUUUCGGGGUCUCCAUUAGUGAAACAAUAAAUAAGGCUAUGGUAAAACUGA